rnacentral:misc_RNA from 1 species
GAAAUGCGAUAAGUAAUGUGAAUUGCAGAAUUCAGUGAAUCAUCGAAUCUUUGAACGCACCUUGCGCUCCUUGGUAUUCCUUGGAGCAUGCCUGUUUGAGUAUCAUGAAAUCUUCAAAGUAAAUCUUUUGUUAACUCAAUUGGUUUCUACUUUGGUAUUGGAGGUCUUUGCAGCUUCACACCUGCUCCUCUUUGUUCAUUAGCUGGAUCUCAGUGUUAUGCUUGGUUCCACUCGGCGUGAUAAGUUAUCUAUCGCUUAGGACACUGUAAAAGGUGGCCAAGGUAAAUGCAGAUGAACCGCUUCUAAUAGUCCAUUGACUUGGACAAUACUUUUAUGAUCUGAUCUCGAAUCAGGUAGGACUACCCGCUGAACUUAAGC